rnacentral:rRNA from 1 species
UCGACGAACUCUGGUAUUGAUUGGUGCUUGCAUCAUGAUUUACAUUUGAGUGAGUGGCGAACUGGUGAGUAACACGUGGGAAACCUGCCCAGAAGCGGGGGAUAACACCUGGAAACAGAUGCUAAUACCGCAUAACAACUUGGACCGCAUGGUCCGAGCUUGAAAGAUGGCUUCGGCUAUCACUUUUGGAUGGUCCCGCGGCGUAUUAGCUAGAUGGUGGGGUAACGGCUCACCAUGGCAAUGAUACGUAGCCGACCUGAGAGGGUAAUCGGCCACAUUGGGACUGAGACACGGCCCAAACUCCUACGGGAGGCAGCAGUAGGGAAUCUUCCACAAUGGACGAAAGUCUGAUGGAGCAACGCCGCGUGAGUGAAGAAGGGUUUCGGCUCGUAAAACUCUGUUGUUAAAGAAGAACAUAUCUGAGAGUAACUGUUCAGGUAUUGACGGUAUUUAACCAGAAAGCCACGGCUAACUACGUGCCAGCAGCCGCGGUAAUACGUAGGUGGCAAGCGUUGUCCGGAUUUAUUGGGCGUAAAGCGAGCGCAGGCGGUUUUUUAAGUCUGAUGUGAAAGCCUUCGGCUCAACCGAAGAAGUG